UUGCUCUUUCCGGAUGAGUUGCGAACGGGUGAGUAACGCGUAGGUAACCUGCCUGGUAGCGGGGGAUAACUAUUGGAAACGAUAGCUAAUACCGCAUAACAGUAGAUAUCGCAUGAUAGCUGCUUAAAAGGUGCAAUUGCACCACUACCAGAUGGACCUGCGUUGUAUUAGCUAGUUGGUGAGGUAACGGCUCACCAAGGCAACGAUACAUAGCCGACCUGAGAGGGUGAUCGGCCACACUGGGACUGAGACACGGCCCAGACUCCUACGGGAGGCAGCAGUAGGGAAUCUUCGGCAAUGGACGGAAGUCUGACCGAGCAACGCCGCGUGAGUGAAGAAGGUUUUCGGAUCGUAAAGCUCUGUUGUAAGAGAAGAACGAGUGUGAGAGUGGAAAGUUCACACUGUGACGGUAUCUUACCAGAAAGGGACGGCUAACUACGUGCCAGCAGCCGCGGUAAUACGUAGGUCCCGAGCGUUGUCCGGAUUUAUUGGGCGUAAAGCGAGCGCAGGCGGUUAGAUAAGUCUGAAGUUAAAGGCUGUGGCUUAACCAUAGUACGCUUUGGAAACUGUUUAACUUGAGUGCAAGAGGGGAGAGUGGAAUUCCAUGUGUAGCGGUGAAAUGCGUAGAUAUAUGGAGGAACACCGGUGGCGAAAGC
rnacentral:rRNA from 1 species